rnacentral:rRNA from 1 species
GCAACUGUGGGGCCAGAGAAGGUGGGAAUAGGAAGGGUGGAAGGGUGGUGUGGAAUUACUGGGCGGAAGGCGCGCGGAGGCGGGUCAGUAAGUCGAUUGGGAAAUCCCUGGGCUUAACCUGGGAACUGCAGUUGAAACUACUGAUCUUGAGUGCCUGAGAGGAUGGCGGAAUAACCGGUGUAGUAGUGAAAUACGUAGAUAUCGGUUAGAACACCUGAGGCGAAGGCGGCUAUCUGGCGGUGCACUGACGCUGAUGCGCGAAAGCGUGGGGAGCGAACAGGAUUAGAUACCCGGGUAGUC